UAACGAAAUUGUUAUGCUUUGUUUUCAGUAAAAGUUUGUGUGUACAGGUAAACUUUGUCGGCGGAUUAGACAAAAUUAGUCUACUCAUCAUAAUUUGCCGACUGUUUUCAUUGUUGUGGGAGGAUUAACAGGUUUCACUGAGUUGUUGUGAAUGUUAAUUAGGAAGUGGUGAGUUUGAUUUUGAUUGCGAAAUACUCUGUGUUGGAGAUGUAAGUGUUUUCUUAAUACGUGUUUUCUGCUACUUCUCUGCUGGUCUGCGCAGUUAAACGUUGAAUGACGA